GUGUGUGUAUAUAAUGCAGUGUGUUUGUGUAGUGUGCAUUAUAUACACACACUAUACAAACACACUGCAUUAUAUACACAGUGU